rnacentral:rRNA from 1 species
UUCCGGUUGAUCCCGCCGGAGGCUACCGCUAUUGGAGUUCGAUUAAGCCAUGCGAGUCGCGAGUCUUAGGGACUCGGCGUACCGCUCAGUAACACGUGGGUAACCUGCCCUAUGCUGGGGGAUAACCUCGGGAAACUGAGAAUAAUACCCCAUAGUUCACCACGCCUGGAACGGUGGGUGGAUCAAAGCUCCGGCGGCAUAGGAUGGGCCUGCGGCGUAUCAGGUUGUAGGGGGUGUAAUGUACCCUCUAGCCCUCUACGCGUACGGGUGUUGAGAGACAUCGCCCGGAGAUGGAUUCUGAGACACGAAUCCAGACCCUACGGGGUGCAGCAGGCGCGAAAACUUGGCAAUGCGAGAAAUCGUGACCAGGGAACUCCAAGUGCAUCGGGUAAGACCGAUGCUUUUCUUGACUCUUCAAAGGUCUUGGAAUAAGGGGUGGGUAAGGACGGUGCCAGCCGCCGCGGUAAUACCGGCGCCCCAAGUGGUAGUCGCUUUUAUUGGGCCUAAAACGUCCGUAGCCGGUCUGGUACAUUCGUGGGUAAAUCAACCAGCUCAACUGGUUGAAUUCUGCGAGCACGGCCAGACUUGGGACCGGGAGAGGUGUGGGGUACUCUCAGGGUAGGGGUAAAAUCCUGUCAUCCUGAGAGGACCACCUGUUGCGAAGGCGCCACACUAGAACGGAUCCGACGGUCAGGGACGAAGCCUAGGGGCACGAACCGGAUUAGAUACCCGGGUAGUCCUAGGUGUAAACGCUGUGGACUUGAUGUUGGGGGCGCUCCGAGCGCACUCAGUGUCGAAGCGAAGGUGAUAAGUCCACUGCCUGGGGAGUACGGUCGCAAGGCUGAAACUUAAAGGAAUUGGCGGGGGAGCACCGCAACCUGAGGAUUGUGCGGUUUAAUUGGAUUCAACGCCGGA